rnacentral:rRNA from 1 species
AUUGAACGCUGGCGGCAGGCUUAACACAUGCAAGUCGAGCGGAGAUGAGGUGCUUGCACCUUAUCUUAGCGGCGGACGGGUGAGUAAUGCUUAGGAAUCUGCCUAUUAGUGGGGGACAACAUUCCGAAAGGAAUGCUAAUACCGCAUACGCCCUACGGGGGAAAGCAGGGGAUCUUCGGACCUUGCGCUAAUAGAUGAGCCUAAGUCGGAUUAGCUAGUUGGUGGGGUAAAGGCCUACCAAGGCGACGAUCUGUAGCGGGUCUGAGAGGAUGAUCCGCCACACUGGGACUGAGACACGGCCCAGACUCCUACGGGAGGCAGCAGUGGGGAAUAUUGGACAAUGGGCGGAAGCCUGAUCCAGCCAUGCCGCGUGUGUGAAGAAGGCCUUUUGGUUGUAAAGCACUUUAAGCGAGGAGGAGGCUACUAGUAUUAAUACUACUGGAUAGUGGACGUUACUCGCAGAAUAAGCACCGGCUAACUCUGUGCCAGCAGCCGCAGUAAGAC